UACGUAGGCAGCGAGCGUUGUUCGGAGUUACUGGGCGUAAAGGGUGUGUAGGCGGUUGUUUAAGUUUGGUGUGAAAUCUCCCGGCUCAACUGGGAGGGUGCGCCGAAUACUGAGCGAACUAGAGUGCGGGAGAGGAAAGUGGAAUUCCGUGGUGUAGCGGUGAAAUGCGUAGAUAUCAGGAGGAACACCGGUGGUGUAGACGGCUUUCUGGACCGUAACUGACGCUGAGACACGGAAAGCGUGGGUAGCAAACAGG
rnacentral:rRNA from 1 species